rnacentral:rRNA from 1 species
AUACGUAGGGGACGAGCGUUGUCCGGAAUUACUGGGCGUAAAGGGCGCGCAGGCGGAUAUUUAAGUCAGCUGUAAAAGGCAUGAGCUCAACUCAUGUAUGCGGUUGAAACUGGGUAUCUAGAGUGCUGGAGAGGUAGGCGGAAUUCCCGGUGUAGCGGGGAAAUGCGUAGAUAUCGGGAAGAACACCAGUGGCGAAGGCGGCUUACUGGCCAGCAACUGACGCUGAGGCGCGAAAGCCAGUGGAGCGAACGGGAUUAGAUACCCCGGUAGUCCUGGCCGUAAACGAUGAAUGCUAGGUGUGGGUGUCGAGAGGCAUCCGUGCCGGAGUUAACGCGAUAAGCAUUCCGCCUGGGGAGUACGAUCGCAAGAUUGAAACUCAAAUGAAUUGGCGGGG